ensembl:lncRNA
GUGCUUCUGAUAAAAUGUGUAUGUGUGCUUGUUUGUGUCUGGGUGUAUGUGUGUUUGUUUCAGGGCCCACGGGGUCUAGAUGGCCCAGUUGGUGAGGCUGGCACUGAGGGUAAAAAGGUAGAACACAAUAAACAACGCAGUAGUCAGUAAUAAUGAAAAUAAUAUAGCUGCCAUUAUUAAUUGAUUUAUCCUUUGCAUUCUUGUUGCCUCUUUUCUCCUCCAAUAGGGUCUUGAUGGUCCCCCUGGAAAAAUUGGCUUCCCUGGAGACCAGGGUAAGAUUGGGGAGCCUGGCGAGGUCGGGACAAAAGGGUUUCCGGGGAUUCAGGGGCCUUCAGGGGCACCAGGAGCCAAAGGAAUCGCAGGAGAGCCAGGCCCCUCAGGAAUACCAGGAGCAAUAGGGCCUCUCGGAAACAUUGGGCCAAAGGGCCCUCCAGGAAAAGUGGGAGACUCUGGAGUUCUAGGUGAACCAGGAGAGAAGGUAGGUUUCAUAACGUCUGAGAAAAGUCAGUACAGUCACCAGUAAAUUUAA